CUUCCUUUCUGCUCCUACUGCUGCCGUGGAAAAGGAGGAAGAGUCCCUCAGCAGAGAGCAGCGCGUCUGGAUAAUUAGCACUGGUAGAUUGACUCAAAUUAGAGAGCUACCUGUCUCAACGAAUCCACAUCCCCACCACCGCCAGAAACAAAGGCUUCCUGAGGAGCCUCAGUCUGGUGCUUCAUCUUCUCCAAGGUCCAAAGAAAUGAAAACCAC
rnacentral:lncRNA from 1 species